GCGGAAGUGGUGGAACUGGCAGACACGCCAUCUUGAGGGGGUGGUGGGGCAACCCGUGGGGGUUCAAGUCCCCCCUUCCGCACCA
rnacentral:tRNA from 1 species